rnacentral:lncRNA from 1 species
UAGGGGCCCUAUUCCGCUUCAGAAUUCUAUCGGUACCUGCCCUUUCUUCGAGAGCCCUGUUUCUCUUGACGUCUUCUCUGGCCAUAGGCGUCCUUCGAGUCAUCCCUGUCCUCGCCCCUCUGCAUCCCUCAAAGCGAUCUAGGUUAGUCCCAGAACCUUCGUCUUUCUUCUCGCCACUUAGGGGCCCUUUCUUUGCUAUUUUUUUUUUGUAUUCCUCUGAGUCAGUCUCCUGUGAUCUCUUGCCCUUUGUCCUGUCCGUUUUCUUCGGGAUCAUCAGGGUCUUCAUUUGAAGGUAUUCGAAAUGUCUUCCGGUACCUCCGCUUCCGAU